CAGGGAAGGAGUUAGAUGCUUCUGCUGGGUUUUGAACCAAGGACUAAGCUGUAUCAACCCCUGACUCUGGAGGAGCUGCUGGAACUGCCAGCCAUUGAGUACCCUGAGGACCCAUGAACAAUGAGGCCCUACAAACAGCUUGAGAUGUAUAAGCAACAGGUUUCCUUGGAUCACCAUACUUUUUAAUCAAACUGCUCCUGGGCCUUGUUUGGAUGCAUCUGAAGACAAUUUUUGGAAACCUUGACUUCAGCACAUCCUUCACGCCAGCACAGAGGCUUUCGCAGAUUAGAAGAUGGGGGGGGGGGGGAAAAAGGACAGGUGGUGACAUAUUCAGCAAAAUAAUGAACACCUCUUGGACAGUUGAGACGGAGCUAAGAGCCUGGAGGAUUUCAUUGUCUGAAAAACUGGAUAUGGACAUGGAAAGCAGGAGAGCAUCCCAGGAACAUGAGAUACUGUGGAAUAUGAAGGGCCAGUCAGACAUGUUGAGCUUCAAGAAAAUACACUUGAGGCUAGACUCCCUCUGCAGCUCCUGCAGAACU